rnacentral:sRNA from 1 species
GCUGUCGCAAAAUCGGCAGCCGGGCGUAGGAACCCGUGUUUAAUCUUGGCGACAAAUGAACACGCGCCACGCGUGUUUUUU